GAUGAAGAACGUAGCGAAAUGCGAUAAUUAAUGUGAAUUGCAGAAUUCCGUGAAUCUUCGAGUCUUUGAACGCACAUUGCGCCUCAUGGCAUUCCGUGAGGCAUGCCCAUCUCAGCGUUAGAAAAUAUUCUCAAAUUUUAGUUUUGUGCUAAAAUUUGGAUCAUGUCAAGGAAGCUAUUACUAUUAUUGUGAUCGCUCUUUGGAAAUUGAUAGGUCUUUGAGUUGCUACUCAUAGAACGUGAUGAAUCUUUCUUCGUUCUAUUGUAAUUCACUCUGGUAGUCCUAAAACUUGUAUGCCUGUGGCAUAUCUUGUAAUUUGACCUGAGAUUGGGUAGGGAUACCCGCUGAACUUAAGCAUAUCAAUAAGCGGAGGA
rnacentral:misc_RNA from 1 species